GGACCUGUGGCGUAAUGGUAACGCGUCUGAUUCCAGCUGAUGGAAUAUCCAGAAGAGUGUGUGUUCGAGUCACAUCAGGUUCA